GGUAGUCCACGCCCUAAACGAUGUCUACUAGUUGUCGGGUUUUAAUUAACUUGGUAACGCAGCUAACGCGUGGAGUAGACCGCCUGGGGAGUACGGUCGCAAGAUUAAAACUCAAAGGAAUUGACGGGGACCCGCACAAGCGGUGGAUGAUGUGGAUUAAUUCGAUGCAACGCGAAAAACCUUACCUACCCUUGACAUGUACGGAAGACCGAAGAGAUUUGGUUGUGCUCGAAAGAGAACCGUAACACAGGUGCUGCAUGGCUGUCGUCAGCUCGUGUCGUGAGAUGUUGGGUUAAGUCCCGCAACGAGCGCAACCCUUGUCAUUAGUUGCUACAUUUAGUUGAGCACUCUAAUGAGACUGCCGGUGACAAACCGGAGGAAGGUGGGGAUGACGUCAAGUCCUCAUGGCCCUUAUGGGUAGGGCUUCACACGUCAUACAAUGGUACAUACAGAGGGCCGCCAACCCGCGAGGGGGAGCUAAUCCCAGAAAGUGUAUCGUAGUCCGGAUCGCAGUCUGCAACUCGACUGCGUGAAGUUGGAAUCGCUAGUAAUCGCGGAUCAGCAUGUCGCGGUGAAUACGUUCCCGGGUCUUGUACACACCGCCCGUCACACCAUGGGAGCGGGUUUUACCAGAAGUAGGUAGCUUAACCGCAAGGAGGGCGCUUACCACGGUAGGAUUCGUGACUGGGGUGAAGUCGUAACAAGGUAGCCGUAUCGGAAGGUGC
rnacentral:rRNA from 1 species